rnacentral:rRNA from 1 species
CCUACGGGAGGCAGCAGUGGGGAAUAUUGCGCAAUGGGGGCAACCCUGACGCAGCAACGCCGCGUGAUUGAAGAAGGCCUUCGGGUUGUAAAGAUCUUUAAUCAGGGACGAAAAAUGACGGUACCUGAAGAAUAAGCUCCGGCAAACUACGUGCCAGCAGCCGCGGUAAUACGUAGGGAGCAAGCGUUAUCCGGAUUUACUGGGUGUAAAGGGCGUGUAGGCGGGCGUGUAAGUCAGAAGUGAAAUCUGGGGGCUUAACCCCCAAACUGCUUUUGAAACUGCGGGUCUUGAGUGAUGGAGAGGCAUGCGGAAUGCGCAGUGUAGCGGUGAAAUGCGUAGAUAUUGCGAGGAACACCAGUGGCGAAGGCGGCCUGCUGGACAUUAACUGACGCUGAGGCGCGAAAGCGUGGGGAGCAAACAGGAUUAGAUACCCUAGUAGUC